rnacentral:lncRNA from 1 species
UGCAAUAUCACCCUGCACAUUUUUCUUCUACAUGCUAGCUUCAUUCCUAAUCCACAUAUAGGUUCAGACCUCAAAGAAUAUUCCAAUCAAGCACUGUAAAAAGGUUUCAUAGCCCAAAUCUUAAACAACUUCAUAUAAAUGGAUCUUAAUUUGCCUCUAAAAAAAAAUUAUCUUCAAAAUUAAGCAAUAUCAUAGUAUACCUCCAUAUUAAUUUUUGAGUUUACGAGUUCACUUAAAUAAUAAAUAAUCACAAUGCAUGAUAAUAUUCCAUGGCCAAUCCUUUUGCACUUAAUUUAGAUCCAAAUCUAACUAAUUAUAACUUGAUUCAUAGAUUGCCCAACCUUCCAUAAUGUAUCAAACCUCAUAAGUAAAUUCAAUCAUAAUUUCCUAGUAACCUUCUCAUACAUAAUCUAUCACAAGGCUUAAUAGAAAAUCUUGAAAGUAGCUUACAAUGCAAUCGACAUAGAUUCACGUCCAAUGCCCUUAGUGUUUACCCACCUACACUCAUCUUAUGUCAGAUUCUUUGUCUUAGAUUUUUUCGACUUAUGCUCUAAUACCAUAAAAGUUGUCACGCCCCCAUC